rnacentral:rRNA from 1 species
GACGAACGCUGGCGGCGUGCUUAACACAUGCAAGUCGAACGAAAAGAGGGAAAGAGCUUGCUCUUUCCGGAAUUGAGUGGCAAACGGGUGAGUAACACGUAAACAACCUGCCUUCAGGAUGGGGACAACAGACGGAAACGACUGCUAAUACCGAAUAAGUUCCAAGAGCCGCAUGGCCCAUGGAAGAAAAGGUGGCCUCUACCUGUAAGCUAUCGCCUGAAGAGGGGUUUGCGUCUGAUUAGCUGGUUGGAGGGGUAACGGCCCACCAAGGCGACGAUCAGUAGCCGGUCGGCGAGGAUGAACGGCCAAACUGGAACUGAGACACGGUCCAGACUCCUACGGGAGGCAGCAGUGGGGAAUCUUCCGCAAUGGGCGAAAGCCUGACGGAGCAACGCCGCGUGAGUGAUGACGGCCUUCGGGUUGUAAAACUCUGUGAUCCGGGACGAAAAGGCAGAGUGCGAAGAACAAACUGCAUUGACGGUACCGGAAAAGCAAGCCACGGCUAACUACGUG